GCUACAUGACAUUCUUCGUCAUCAAAAGACUGACUCUUUGCUCUCCUAUGACAUCCUAAUAUUUAGCAUACUAGUGAGACUGAAUUCUUGUAGACCAAAUUAUGGAAAGUCAGAAGAUGCUCUAGAGGGAAGAAGCUGCUUCUCUAAGGCAGACUUAUGGACUCGCUUGGCCACUUGGGGGAGAUAAAAGCCAGCAGAUCUGUACAGCCCUCAGACAGACCACAAAUACGGUUACUAUUGGCCAACUCUAUUCCACACAGAAACUGGUUAUUGAGAGUCCAGGAAACACAUAGCUAUGAGAAGACCCUGAUCCUGAAGCAACACUGGACCAUUCUCAGCAUCCUACAGUGCCACAUACAGAUGCAUAAACUCACUGCACACGUCUGAGCUUUUCUGUUCAGCAGAAGAAAUGCCUUGAGAGACUGUUUUUGGCAACCAAAGUACUGUUUUCUAAUGGCUCAUCUGUUCUGAAAUAUAUUGCUGUGAUUUAUAGUAGCAUGUAAGGUAGUUUUGAAACCUGUUGGCUUGUAUGUCCCAUGUGAUGGAAUAGUUCCUCCUCUACUUUGACAAUAAAACUUCAUUAAACUACCUGUAACCAGAUCCAUUUUUCUGCUGCUGACCUUUUCUCUCACUGAGCACGAAACCCUUUUUUUUGAGAUUUAAAACCCUUUGCCUAAUUGUUAAGACUUAAGUUCUUAUUGAUCCUGUUUUAUUUAAGUAUGGAAAGCAUCUGAAAUUAAAUGACUAAAUAUAUCGUUCAUUUUAAAUAUUAAAACCACAGAUUAAGAGAGUUUUCAUCUCCUGGACCUUAAUACUUACAAGUAUCACACGCUGCAUUGUGUGGUUUCUUUGAAAAGCAUCCCUUGACAUUUCAGGAGGUUCUUCCUUUAGUUUCCGAGAGUUAAUAACCAGUCUUAUCCUACUUUUAACAAUUAACUGAUCAGAAUAGCAGAAGGUAAGACUUGCAUCACUGAGGUUUGGGAGCUUUAAAAUAUAUUUUCACCACCGAGUCCUUUUCUAAAUUUGUUGAGGUGCAGCUAUUAGCACAAAGCAGCACAUCACUUUAUGCAAGUUUUCCCUUUUUCACAAAGCUCCCGAAUUUUGCAGGAGAAAAAGAACCUAACUACAACAAUAACUCAAGUGCUUUAAGUCAUGAAUAGGCACCAAGCUUUGCCUAGCAAAAAAUUAUCAGAUUCUGUUCAAGUCAUUGCUGUGCUUGAAUUUGUUUUCUGUUUGAAAUUGGCAGAAAAAUUAAGCAGUGCAAAGCGUUUUUAAUGGCAUGCGGACAAAAGCUUCUCCCCCCCACCCCCCUGGGGGGUUUUCAGAAGAGAAACAGAAACUCAAAACUAGUUCCAUGACACUGUAGCCUUUAAAAAUCUCCCGUUAUUUUUCUCGCUUCCCAAAAGUCAUCUUUGUUUAGCAUUUCUAUUGUUUCGCAUUGUUCGUGCUGUGUGAUAACAUUAUUAAAGCAGAGGAUAGACAAAAUGUCUAAUUUAGAACUAACUCCCACUCCUCACUACCAUUUAAAGUGUAUUUUAUGGGUUUGUACAGUUAGACUGAAAUGUAUAGUAAUGCAUUCCAUUAACAAUAUAGUAUACAGAGCAAGAUACCGUGACUGAGACUACAAAUGUAGCUUCCAUUCUCACUUUCAAAUAAAUGGCAAAUAUAGUAAUAAUUCUCCUCUUAUUAGGUGUGUAAGUAUUGCAAUGUAAAUUGUUUUUGGUGAACACUUUAUUAAAAUGGAAUUUAAUUAUUCUGAUAGGUAAAAUAUGUCAGGUUCUGUAUUUUAAAUCUGUACAUUCACAACUGGAUAAUUAAGUGCACUUAAUGGUAGAAGUGUAGGGGAAGAAAGGUUUGAUUACUUCCAGUGAACUCAAAGAGAUGUAAUAACAUCUUACAUUUUUAGAGGAGACAGGCUUGGGAAGGGCUGCCAGUUUUAUGCUCAGAGCCUGGUCCCUAAAACAGUACAUGAAAAAUCCUCAUUUAAAACAGCUUAAUUACUGGAACAAGCACCACGUACCAUUUCAAGAUCUGAGAAUGUAUGCUAGGAAACAAAAUAAACAUGCUUAUAAAUAGUGUAGUCCUAAAUUAUAAAGAGGGAUGCCUCCAUCAGUAACAUUUUUACUAUUUACAUCUAAGCUUUCAACACGUUUACAAAACAGUAAAUUUGUUUUCAAAUGGAGGCCCUUUCAACGUAUAAUCAUUUCAUCCAAAAUACCGGUACCUUUCCAGUGAAGUUCUCAAUCGUUGUUUCCAACAAGAAUACAGCUGUAGAUGGCACAUGCUGUCAUAUAGGCGUCACAGGAAGGUGAAAUAUCUGGUGACUUCCCUCAAAAGUCUGGAGGAGAUUACUUCUCCAUUAAUGCCUGAAAAUUCUGUUGUUAAAUUGUGGUGGUAGAUAAAACACUACUGCACUCCUAUUCAUACCAUCUGCUCCUACUUUCUGUCUCAAGGUUACCACUCAGAUUAUCUCUCUCAGCUAUUUAUACGUGCAAAGGAGCAGUAGUAACCUUCAGGAUACAUUCCACAGAGAGGACCCAUCAAGAAAAAAAAAAAUUAAAAAAUCCAGGCUCUGUAAUUUCCCUCUCUUCCCAAUCCAUAGUGCAGAGGUUAAGACAGCUCACUUUUUCAUCAAGGAAAAAUUAGUUCUAAUUCCAAAUUAACCAUAAGCUUAGCAAACAGUAUUUAUACAUGACCUGUUAGAAGUAACCUAAGAAAACUUCUGCUGCUAAGGACCAAAAGCCUGUGUAAUACCAUCUAACCUGCUGACAGUGCAAAGCUAGCAAAGGUAGUAGCAUAUACUACUCAAGCCCAACACAAUCGCUGCAUUUUAGAUGUCUGUCCCCUCUGUGUUUCCUUUCCUUACCAACACACAUGUAAGUUGCGCCCUCCACUAGUGUCAGUUAUGCGCAUAUCCAUUGUCUGGGAUUGGAAAAUACCUAGAAAUAUGAUUUUUUUUCCUUACCUAAUGUCCAUUUCAAGUAAUUUGUCAUAACAUACCCGGUUCUGUAUAAAAACAUCGCUUGCCAAAUGCUUUAUCGUUGAAAUCCUACAAGCUACAGAACGGAAAUCCUUAGAAACCGCGUCUGGCUUGGGAAGUCCAGUGCAGAGAUAAUAGUUGUAGGCUGGGAUGACUUUAGUAUUGUGUUUGUCUCCACUUGCCCUGUUCUUUCUCUUGGCUAGGCAUGUGCUCACCGUCACCGAUGGAGACAGCACAUGGGGAGCUGGCACUGUGGUCCAGCCUCGGAGUUGCUGUGCUCUUACAGCUGCACCUUCUGUGCUUCACCAGUUCCGUUUACGUUGCAAUACUCAUUAAAUCUCUCUCUUGGCACGCUGUCAGGAGCUUUGUUGGAUUUUGUAAAAGCAGUGUAAACAACAGGAAUAGUUAAAACACAAAGGAAUGAUCCUGUGACUUAUGUACAAUGUCCACUAUUAUAAAAAGUAUAUCCUUUUUCCUUAGAACAGAAGGGAGCUCAAUAAAUACCUUUACUAAAGCUGCAAUGUCUUAGCAAAACAAGCUUGCUUUUGUAUUAUAUUAAAAAUGUUUGUCUGUUCCCGAUCUCAACAUUUUAGCAAACCAUUAACCUCAGCAGCAUGCACCAAAAUUUGAACGUUUUACAUAUGAUGAAGUUUGUCAUGACUUUUACAGUAUAAACUUGGAAACAGCGCUCUGAAAGAAAAAAAAAAAAGAAGAAGAAGAACAAUUUGUUUAAUAUUAGUAACUUUUAAAGGACAGGUAUUUCUGUUGUGUGUUACAGCUUCUCCAGACAUUAUACUGCAAUUGAAAGCUCAGUUUCAGAACGCCCAGAUAAAUGAGAGGUACAGCUGUCCUGGAGGAAAGAAACCCAAGAGUAGCAUGUGAACACUUUACAUAGUGUUGAAAUAGGCCAAGAAGGAUUUUAACUUAGUAGUCACAUUUCUAAAAUGGUAUUUCUAUAUAAAACUUCACCAAGUUUCCAGGCAUUAAAAGCAUUACUUUCACCCUCUAAUGUCAGCAGGUAGAAGAAUAAUUCUAUGGAGAAGCACCAGCCCCACCACGUGCUUCCUGCAAUGCAACAUAAACGCAUCGCUCCAGAUACCCAGCACAGACCAUACGUACACAUGAACAGAGCCAUCAAAGAGCUGUGCACCGACUGUUUUCCUGAGUUUUCCAUAACGAUCUACAGUGAAAUCCUGGCAUUAUUCAAGUCAGGAGUAUACUGAUCGCUUUGUUCCACGGUUCUUAACACAGGCAUAAUUAUUUCAUACUCUUGGGAAUGUUUUGCUUGAUGACCUUUUUAAAAAAAGAGGGAAGGUGUGUAGCUCUUUUACUGAGGCUUUACAUUCAUUCUUCUUUCAGUAUUUUAGAAUAUAGGAAUAGUGAAUGAGCCCUUAAUGUGGAAGCAGAAAAAAAGAGAGAGAAGCCAAAGUCAUCUUCCAAGGCUGGGUAUUCCCUACAACCCUAAGAGGGAAAAAAUCGGAACUCAAACCUGUUUCACAAACAUACACACCUUCAAAGGAUUCUGGAGCUUACACAGGAAAUUAAAUGGCAUCAAUGUGUUGCAAGAAAUGCUUCUUUCUAAACUACAUACCUUUUUUACUGUCAAGCCCAGUAUCUACUGAAGCUUUACAGGAGGGGGAAGUGAUGGUAAGCAGUGCAUUCAAAUGACUGCUUCUCUGUGUUCAGAGUAAGAGAACUAUGGAGACAUGUGAAGAAUGUACAGCCUUUCUCUUGAAAGAGUGCACCCCAUAAAUAUUUAUACUGGUCUUUGGCAAUAUGCUAAUCCAAGGCAAGUAAUUUUUCCUCUCUUAAAAAGAAUCGUGAAAGACAAUUAAGGUGAUUUAAUUACUGCCACGCAUAGACAGCAGAUUUUGAACUCUUGACAGACAUUCAUCACAGUGCCAUGUUAUCCUAACCCCGUAACACAAGACUCUGAAGAGAAUAGACAAUUAAACCUAGACCAUUUCCCCUACCUUCCUGCAGUACUCUGGGCUGCAUCCAAAUCCCAGGGACGCCAAUGGGAGCAGAAGCCAGGCUUUUCAAGUACUGACUGAAAGCCCCAGCUUGAAAUAAAACAGAAGUAGUUUGCAUGCAAGUUUGCAGUUCUUCAUGACACCAAAGUAAAUUUAGCUUCACAGUCCUUUUCUGAAUCAUUGAAAUCUGAAUUUAAAUGUAAGUGCAAGCAGCAAAAACAUUGC
ensembl:lncRNA